rnacentral:lncRNA from 1 species
CACCCCCAACCCUAGAGACCCACUUUCCCCCCUUCAGCUGCCUCUGUGUUCUUUCAUCCUCCCAAUUUCUCUGGAGAACCCUAGCUGCCUCCCCUUUUAAUCCCUCCAUAAUCUCGUUGAACAUGGGAUUCCUUCAUUAUUUGCUUACCAUAUAUAUGUUCCUCCGCUACUUGUCACGGGUUUGUGGUAUUACCUAGGUACUUCCCAAUUUUGGCAAGUACCAUCUCCUAGAUCGGACUGGAUCGACCACAAUCUUUGAGAUUUGCACAACAUUUAGUCCAUAUACAUGAAGAAUGGCUUUAUUCCUCACACCAGUUGUCCGAUUUCAAGCAUUAAACCCUAACUAGGGUUUGAAAUUUGAUUUCUUGCCUUAUAGGUUACUUUACUGAUUGCAUGUAUAUUUUUCUUUCAUUGUUUAUGUUUGCUUAAUUUCUUUCCUUAUUUACUUUUUUUAUUUGACUGCUAUAAAAAUCCUUCCCCUAAUUCCCUUAAAUGGAACUUAAUGACUAUUGCUACUCUCUCACUCUUACUUAUCCUAUACUACUCUGAAACUUAAUUUCUUGGCCGGCUGAAAGCCAGGGCCACCUGAAUUCGAUUAUUGGACCUUUUUUAGUAUAAGAACUACUCAGGGUUCAACCCUUGGGAACUCUAACACACUGAUAUUCUUAGGUUCUACUACUCAUAUUGCCAUUGACAAUUGAGAUAUUGCUGAAAUUAUUCUUCUUGUUUACUGGUUUGCCUAUCGGUAACUGGUAAGUCCUUUGGUCUUCACAUUUUCAUCUUUUCUUUAUGUUCAUGAACUUUGUUUGAACUAAUGUGUUACCAUGCUAUCUCUGUUUACAUUCCUAUUUGCUUUAGAGUUAAUUUGUGAUUUUAAACUUUUUCUAACACUAGAACUUGCCUAAUUUUUAACCCUGAUUCUUGAUUUCUUAAGCAUGCUUAGCUUAAUGUUUUGUAUCUUUGUCAGUACUUAUGUCUACUUCCUGCUAUGAUCCUAUCUUCCUACCUUAUUUAAGACUCUUGUGAGAAACCACCUCAUUGCGCUAAUUGUGUUCGUAUACAUUAUUUUCAUUAGGUCAUUCAUGUGUAACUUGUUAACUUCUUCAAUGAUCAUGUAAUUUUUGAAUCUCAUUACUGCAUCAAUCUCUUAAAGAAGUAUGACAUGUUUUCAGUAAUUUUAAUAUGCUAUUUGACCUACUCAAUUCUGUGUUUCUAAGUGUUGCCCAAGGCUUUCUAGGGUAAAACCUAAUGUAUAGCCUUUUCCUAUAUAUGAUCAGGUGGAACUAGGCUUGAUAAUCACAUAUCUUGUUUACCUAGGGUUGAUAUUUUCAUCUACCAUGAAUCCUAAUGUCUGCCUGUCUUGUUAGCCCAAAGUUGGCAUGUUACAUAUUAUUAGUUGUUUAGAAUCUUUGUGCUAUAGUUAAUGUUUGUCAUUUUAUGUUUCAUGUUCAACUAAGUAUGUUUGCCAAACUAUGUUACUUGUAUGUUGUUAUGCCAGGCUUUGAUGUUAAAAUUCUCAUAUAAAGAUUUCAUUCCACCCCCUUCUUGUUUGCGAUUCUGCUAGGCUGUCAUCGGAAGUUCUUUAGGUUGGUUCUACUUUGAGACAUUGUUUGCAUUAAUUUGCUAGCUUGUGAUAUCCUAUCUUGUCAUUGUUAAAUCUUGUUUUCUGGAUUUACUUGCCCAAAUGUAUCUUUGGUUCCUUUCAACUUAGCAUGGCCUUGUUUAUUUGUUGAAACUGCAACUAUUUCAGUUGUAAGAACUAAGUGUUUAAGUUAUUCUAUGAGUAGUUCAUUUACUUGUAUGGCUAAAUUUGGCAUCCAUUAGCUUAAUUACUUCAAUUGUUUGGGCCUGGUAUGUUGGGUCUCCUUUGGUAUUAGGUCUGCCUUUGGUACAUUGUCUACACCUGGAGUUUGGACCUGCUGUCCGCAAGUUUCGAGUCUAUUUGAGGCCCAGAUAUGUUACUGGGUUAUUCUUUAUUUGUAAUUGGGCAUGUAUUGUUCAAUAUGGUUUGUAAUAACUUGUAAAACUGAAUGAUGGGGAUAUUAGUUAAGAAAGGGGGACGAGGGUUGGGGUAUUAUAAUUCUUGCAUGAAUGGGUAGAAAAUAUGUCCAUAGGGUUUAAUUGCUUUGUUUGAUAUUUGUUUGACUUACUUUAAUUCUGCACACUAAUAGAAAGCAUGCUUAUAGGAACUCAAACACGUCACCUACUGAACCUGUCUAAUGCUCGCACAUUGUCAGAAACGUGUUUGUAUUAACCUAAGUGUUUUAUUUAUUCAUGUGUUUACUUUUAUGCACUAUUACAUAGCAUGACUAUAGGAAUCAAAUAUAAUUUAGUAUUUGCUCAAUUUGUGCAAUUGCAGUGUGAUUAUUAGAAAACAUGCCUACAAGAUCGUGUUAAAUAAUUAAUAUAUGCUUCCACUGAUAUUCAUCUAUAGACCAUGUCUAUAAGGCCUUAAUUGAUUAACUAAUUGGUUGCCUUGUUGUUCCUAUCACAUUGCCGCAUAGACAACAUGCCCAUAGGAAUAAACAUAAUAAAUUUGUGUUCAAAUACCAACUAUUAGAGAAUCUGCAUGUAGGAUACUACUACUCGGUUAGAAAGCAUGCUAAAUGGAUUAAAAAAAUGAGUAAUUAUGAGUUUUCCAAUGGCCUGACUUCCCCAAGCGCAAAUCAUUUGGAGACCAUGUUUAUAGGCUUUUAUAACAUUUCUAAUUUGUAAAUUCAAUAAUCUGGUCAGCAGCACUACCCAUGAGAUGUUCUUAAACUAUGUGGUCACAUAGAAGCCAUGACUAUAUAUUUUAACAACUCCAAUAUAUCUCGAUUCUAAAAUCGCCUACUCUAGAUCUGAAUAUGUCCGCGUGCUUUUGUUGCUUAUAUGUGGAGGCUAACUUGAGCCACUCGUUGUUUUUACAUGUAG